GAGUUUGAUCAUGGCUCAGAUUGAACGCUGGCGGCAUGCCUUACACAUGCAAGUCGAACGGCAGCACGGGAGCUUGCUCCUGGUGGCGAGUGGCGAACGGGUGAGUAGUGCAUCGGAACGUAUCCUGGAGUGGGGGAUAACGUAGCGAAAGUUACGCUAAUACCGCAUAUUCUGUGAGCAGGAAAGCGGGGGACCUUCGGGCCUCGCGCUCUUGGAGCGGCCGAUGUCGGAUUAGCUAGUUGGUGAGGUAAAGGCUCACCAAGGCGACGAUCCGUAGCAGGUCUGAGAGGAUGAUCUGCCACACUGGAACUGAGACACGGUCCAGACUCCUACGGGAGGCAGCAGUGGGGAAUUUUGGACAAUGGGGGCAACCCUGAUCCAGCCAUGCCGCGUGAGUGAAGAAGGCC
rnacentral:rRNA from 1 species